CCCUUAGAUGUUCUGGGCUGCACGCGCGCUACACUGAAGCGUUCAACGAGUAUUCACCUUGCCCGGGAGGGUUGGGUAAUCUUUUGAAAACGCUUCGUGAUGGGGAUAGAUUAUUGCAAUUAUUAAUCUUCAACGAGGAAUUCCCAGUAAGCGCGAGUCAUAAGCUCGCGUUGAUUACGUCCCUGCCCUUUGUACACACCGCCCGUCGCUACUACCGAUUGAACGGUUUAGUGAGGGCAUCGGACUGGUCUCGGCCCGCCCUUCACCGGUGCGGCGCCGCCGGCCGGGAAGACGCUCGAACUUGAUCGUUUAGAGGAAGUAAAAGUCGUAACA
rnacentral:rRNA from 1 species